rnacentral:tRNA from 1 species
CACUGGAUAGCUCAGUCGGGUAGAGCAACCGUCUCAUCAACGGUCUGUCGCGGGUUCGACUCCCGCUCCAACAC